rnacentral:rRNA from 1 species
CCUGCCCUUAACUCUGGGAUAAGCCUGGGAAACUGGGUCUAAUACCGGAUAUGACCCGUCACCGCAUGGUGGUGGGAGGAAAGAUUUUUUGGUUUUGGAUGGACUCGCGGCCUAUCAGCUUGUUGGUGAGGUAAUGGCUCACCAAGGCGACGACGGGUAGCCGGCCUGAGAGGGUGACCGGCCACACUGGGACUGAGACACGGCCCAGACUCCUACGGGAGGCAGCAGUGGGGAAUAUUGCACAAUGGGCGCAAGCCUGAUGCAGCGACGCCGCGUGAGGGAUGAAGGCCUUCGGGUUGUAAACCUCUUUCAGUAGGGAAGAAGCGAAAGUGACGGUACCUGCAGAAGAAGCGCCGGCUAACUACGUGCCAGCAGCCGCGGUAAUACGUAGGGCGCAAGCGUUAUCCGGAAUUAUUGGGCGUAAAGAGCUCGUAGGCGGUUUGUCGCGUCUGCCGUGAAAGUCCGGGGCUCAACUCCGGAUCUGCGGUGGGUACGGGCAGACUAGAGUGAUGUAGGGGAGACUGGAAUUCCUGGUGUAGCGGUGAAAUGCGCAGAUAUCAGGAGGAACACCGAUGGCGAAGGCAGGUCUCUGGGCAUUAACUGACGCUGA